GACGAACGCUGGCGGCGUGCUUAACACGUGCAAGUCGAACGGAAAGGCCCUGCUUUUGUGGGGUGCUCGAGUGGCGAACGGGUGAGUAACACGUGAGUAACCUGCCCUUGACUUUGGGAUAACUUCAGGGAACUGGGGCUAAUAACGGAUAGGAGCUCCUGCUGCAUGGUGGGGGUUGGAAAGUUUCGGCGGUUGGGGAUGGGCUCGCGGCUUAUCAGCUUGUUGGUGGGGGAGUGGCUUACCAGGGCUUUGACGGGUAGCCGGCCUGAGAGGGUGACCGGCCACAGUGGGACUGAGAUACGGCCCAGACUCCUACGGGAGGCAGCAGUGGGGAAUAUUGCACAAUGGGCGGAAGCCUGAUGCAGCAACGCCGCGUGCGGGAUGACGGCCUUCGGGUUGUAAACCGCUUUCGCCUGUGACGAAGCGUGAGUGACGGUAAUGGGUAAAGAAGCACCGGCUAACUACGUG
rnacentral:rRNA from 1 species